CAUUACUGAGCCAAGGCUAAUAUUACUUUAUAGGUCAGAGUCCACAAGGCACUUUGGAACAAGAAUCAAAUUAAACUCUGGCCAGUGGACCCUGUCAUCAGAGUGAUGAAGAAGCGCAAGAAAUAUCAAUUCUGAGAAAGCAGUCCCUGAGGAUGACUUGCCUCCACUCUGGUUCACUGGGUCCUCAGUCCAAUGUGAGAUCUGCCAAAUGCGGGACAGUGCUUGAAGAGUCUGGCGAUGAGAUGUUUGGAGGUUUAAGCACUCUCUCCGAUGUUUCGACUUUUCCUCUGCAUGUUUCUGACGAAGUCUCGUGAUGUGUUUGGUGCCUUCCUGAAUGAACCUUCUCCAUUUUAGUUGGUCAAUGGCCAGGGGCUCCCAUGAGUUGGUGGUAUGUUUGACCUCUUCAGUGGUGCUUUAAGGGUAUCCCUAAAAUGUUUCCACUGUCCUCCUGGGAGUCUUCUACCAUGGCCAGAUUCCAAGUAGAACAAUUGUUUUGGGAGUCUGGUACCAGGCAUAUGAACAACAUGUCCGUCCCAGCGAGCGAGUUUUGAGUGAUUAGCAUCUUACUACCUUAACUAUAUUAUUACCUUUCUCAUAACUGUAAUUUCUUUUACUUCCUUUCCGUUCCAUUUGUUGGCUCUACUGUAGGUGUAAUUUAACUCUUGUGGCUUCCACGUGCCUCGUGUCCUCUGACAUACUUUCUAAUAACACCAUGUUUAUGUCAGUGUGACGCGUCGCUGAGGCCCAGAGUUUCAACAGGGACUCUCCCCUCAGGGAAAUUUGAUUGUCUAUUCAUGAGCCCAUUAGUAAAUCCUUUUGGGUUAGACAGCAGGAAUUUCCCACUCCCACUUUCAAUACUGAUUCAUGAACAUAUCGUAUCUCUUCAAUAAAUAGUUAAAUCUUUUACUCCAUUGGUCUUUAGUGACUGAAUACUACACCGACUAUUGCAUCCAGCCAAUCAAACAACAUGUAAUCAUUUUACACACAGGCACAUCCAAAAGAUUUCUGUGGUGGAAUAAUUGGCAGCUAAUGUCUUGCAAAUAAUUUAGCAUAUGAAUAUUAACAUUUUCAAAAGUAGGUUUUGAACCACAAUUUGAUCUUUCAAGAUGUUCAUUAUUGAAUCUCUAAAUGUAAUUCAGUUUUUUUUUACAAAAGCAUGAAUUCCUUCUUGUACAUCAACAAAAUUAUUUUGAAAACCUUAUACUAAUACACAAUGCUUUCUGCAUCAUGAUGCCUAUAUAAAAUAACUUUACUGAUUUAUUGGGUAUUCUAGCAUUCUGAAACUUAUUUUUAAAGAGAGAAUAAGUAAUAUUUUUAAGAUGGACUAUGAUGGGACAUUAUCAAUUGACUGCUUAAAUUCAAUUGGACUUCAUGGGCUGUAAAGCACCUCAGGAUGUCCUGAUGUCAUGAUGUCAUGAAAGGUGCUACAUAAAUGCAAGUCUUUCUUCCUUUAAUGAUAUUUAUUUCAAUCUUUUUCAGAACUGUGUCAUAUGAGGGGUCAUUUUCUUUACUCCUGCUGAGAAGGUUUUUUUCUUUUUAUUUACUGAGAAAUUCCCAAAAGUUGAGGGCAGGUUUGGUUGUGAAGAAACAACAUUUGACAUAGAGUAAAUGUAAUAUUUUCAGUGCACAAAGAGUUGAGAGGACACCCGGCUGCAUCAGGCUCUGUUCAAAAUAAUCAUUUUACAAAAUGCACUGUGGCUAGGCUGUAGAAAUUUUAUAUUUUACAGACCAAAUGUCUAUUGUUUUCCAUUCAGCUUAUGUUUUUAAACCUUGAAUAUAUGCAUGGUGUGAGGAACUGAAGGACCAGUUUUUUUAAAAUUAAUGAUGUAGGAAUUUACAGUACCUAUCCAGGUUUGAGCAAACUAAAACUAUGUGGUUAAAAAAAACACAAGGAAUGAACACUCGGUCUAAACAUUUGGCUUCAUCAUUAAUCAUAGGGCAGAAGAGUGAAAAAUACUGCACAUCCCUGUGAAAAUGACCAUACAGGAAUGGUGAUAUUUUAGAGUGCAGGAGUGAUGAUAGGAAUAGUGGAAAUCGACAUUUGUACAAGAAUUUGAAGGACAUUCACCCGGUUUCCAUGAUAAUGAGCCAGAAAAGUAAACAUAAGCAGGUUCAUCUAGUUAAUGCUUUAGGGUAUUAGGGUAUUCAGUUGUUUCAGUUUAAUUGCAGAAGAUGGUAGGAUAUCAUUGUAUUGUUCACUAACUCUGAUGACAAAUCUACUGCUUACGACCUGACACUUCUAAUCUCAAUUUCCCCCAUCAAACAAGGCUUUUAAAAAUGUUUACCUGUUACCAAUCAGAUUGGAAUUUAGUGUUUAAGUAAAGCCUUUAAAUCGCUAUGUA